rnacentral:sRNA from 1 species
GCAUCCUCUUAGCUUCACCUGUGGUAUGGUUAAAUGUAACAUCAAUUACAUAGUUAUCGCGAAGGAGAACAGUCUUUUCCAUUGGCCUUGGGUUUUAACCCAAAAAGAGUUGUGCGAUGCAGAAACCAAAACCCCAUAAUGUAAAACAAGAUGGACACAUGGCAAUUCCACCAUUUCCAUAAUCUUCCACAAUGAUCCCGCCCAUUUCACUUUGGCACAAUCUUGCAUGGGCUCUAAAUUGGAUAUGGUGGGUGGAAUUGCAAAAUCGUGCGAUUCCACAUUUUAAAUAGCGAUUUUGACUACACUGGGCACCAUGCACCUUAAACAUUUUAAACUUGCAAGCAUACUCAUUCAAUCCAUGGUUGUCAAACUUCAGAGAUUAUGUAAGUUCAUAAGAGUUUACCUUAAAGUAAUAUUAAAAAUACAUAAUCAUAGUAUCCAAUCCAAAUAUAACAGUCAUUGAGGAUUGAUAAACGCAUAAGAGUUUACCUUCUACCAAAUAAAUGGCAAUAAUUCAUCACAUGCUUGCAUUUGUUCA